UUGUCAAGGGAUGGGAAUCGAACCCACGACCUUCCGCUUACCGGGCAGAUGCCAUGACCACUAGGCCACAUGACC
rnacentral:tRNA from 1 species